rnacentral:rRNA from 1 species
AUUGAACGCUAGCGGGAUGCCUUACACAUGCAAGUCGAACGAGUGGCGGACGGGUGAGCAAGAUAUCGGAACGUGCGCAGUAGCGGGGGAUAACUACUCGAAAGAGAGGCUAAUACCGCAUACGAUUGGAGCGGCCGUUGUCGGAUUGGCUAGUUGGUGGGGUAAAGGCUCACCAAGGCAACGAUCCGUAGCGGGUUUGAGAGGACGACCGGCCACACUGGAACUGAGACACGGCCCAGACUCCUACGGGAGGCAGCAGUGGGGAAUUUUGGACAAUGGGGGAAACCCUGAUCCAGCCAUGCCGCGUGUAUGAGAAGGCCUUCGGGUUGUAAAGUACUUUUGGCAGAGAAGCGGUACCUGAAGAAUAAGCACCGGCUAACUACGUGCCAGCCGCCGCGGUAAUAC